rnacentral:rRNA from 1 species
GAUGAACGCUGGCGGCGUGCUUAACACAUGCAAGUCGAACGGUGAAGGCGGAGCUUGCUCUGCUGGAUCAGUGGCGAACGGGUGAGUAACACGUGAGCAAUCUGCCCCUGACUCUGGGAUAAGCGCUGGAAACGGCGUCUAAUACUGGAUACGAGCUGCGAAGGCAUCUUCAGCAGCUGGAAAGAAUUUCGGUCAGGGAUGAGCUCGCGGCCUAUCAGCUUGUUGGUGAGGUAAUGGCUCACCAGGGCGUCGACGGGUAGCCGGCCUGAGAGGGUGACCGGCCACACUGGGACUGAGACACGGCCCAGACUCCUACGGGAGGCAGCAGUGGGGAAUAUUGCACAAUGGGCGAAAGCCUGAUGCAGCAACGCCGCGUGAGGGACGACGGCCUUCGGGUUGUAAACCUCUUUUAGCAGGGAAGAAGCGAAAGUGACGGUACCUGCAGAAAAAGCGCCGGCUAACUACGUG